UACGGGGGGGGCAAGCGUUGUUCGGAUAUACUGGGCGUAAAGCGCACGUAGGCGGCGCAGCAAGUCAGGGGUGAAAGCCCGGGGCUCAACCCCGGAACUGCCUUUAAGACUGCAUCGCUUGAAUCCGGGAGAGGUGAGUGGAAUUCCGAGUGUAGAGGUGAAAUUCGUAGAUAUUCGGAAGAACACCAGUGGCGAAGGCGGCUCACUGGACCGGCAUUGACGCUGAUGUGCGAAAGCGUGGGGAGCAAACAGG
rnacentral:rRNA from 1 species